AUCUGAAAUCAGGUGGGAUUACCCGC
rnacentral:rRNA from 1 species